rnacentral:miRNA from 1 species
AGUGUAGAAGAGAGUGGGAAUGUC